AGACACACUAUGAGCCAGUAUGAUCCGACCAGACCUUACAUCAGCAUUGAGGAGUUGUCGGAGAAGAAAGAGGCUGAUUGAAGCGGGACAGAUGACAUGGAUCCAUCCUUCCACAGCCAGGAGCGCACCGACCUGUGUCCCACACUUCAUAUGAGACUGGAAGCUACACUGAUCUCACAGCUACACACCACAGACGUCUACACACUGGAGAAGAUUCAGACAGAGUCCCACAAAGAAGUCAUGACCCAGAGGCUGCAGAGAAACAUUUCAAGCCUCACCUGAGUUUUUGUACAAUAUAUUUGCUGUAUGUAAAUAAAGCUUUGACUCCACAUA